GAGGAAUAUUGGUCAAUGGGCGCAAGCCUGAACCAGCCAUCCCGCGUGCAGGAUGACAGCCCUAGAGGUUGUAAACUGCUUUUCUGCAGGAAGAAUAAGGACUACGUGUAGUCCGAUGACUGUACUGUAGGAAUAAGCAUCGGCUAACUCCGUGCCAGCAGCCGCGGUAAUACGGAGGAUGCAAGCGUUAUCCGGAUUUAUUAGGUUUAAAGGGUGCGUAGGCGGAAACUUAAGUCAGUGGUAAAAGGCAAUAGCUUAACUAUUGUAAGCCUUUGAUACUGGGUUUCUUGAGUUCGGUAGAGGUAGGCGGAAUGUGUUGUGUAGCGGUGAAAUGCAUAGAUAUAACACAGAACACCGAUUGCGAAGGCAGCUUACUAUGCCGUUACUGACGCUGAGGCACGAAAGCGUGGGGAUCAAAC
rnacentral:rRNA from 1 species